UUCCGGUUGAUCCCGCCGGACCCGACUGCUAUCAGAGUGGGACUAAGCCAUGCGAGUCAACGUAGCAAUGCGUGGCGAACGGCUCAGUAACACGUAGUCAACAUGCCCAGGGGACGUGGAUAACCUCGGGAAACUGAGAUUAAACCGCGAUAGGUCAAGAUUUCUGGAAUGGAUCCUGGCUUAAGUCUACAUGGCCCCUGGAUUGGACUGCGGCCGAUCAGGCUGUUGGUGAGGUAAUGGCCCACCAAACCUAUAACCGGUACGGGCUCUGAGAGGAGAAGCCCGGAGAUGGGCACUGAGACAAGGGCCCAGGCCUUAUGGGGCGCAGCAGGCGCGAAAACUCUGCAAUGGGCGAAAGCCUGAC
rnacentral:rRNA from 1 species